UAGUCAUAUGCUUGUCUCAAAGAUUAAGCCAUGCAUGUCUAAGUAUAAGCAACUUAUACGGCGAAACUGCAGAUGGCUCCUUAAAUCAGUUAUAGUUUAUUUGAUGAUACCUUACUACAUGGAUACCCGUAGUAAUUCUAGAGCUAAUACAUGCGUAAACGGUCCUCCGCAAGGGGGCCAGUAUUUAUUAGAUAAAAAACCAUCUGGGGCAACCCAUUUUCUGGUGAAUCAUAAUAACUUUUCGAAUCGCAUGCUCUCGUAGCGGCGAUACGUCUUG
rnacentral:rRNA from 1 species